rnacentral:tRNA from 1 species
GCCCCGGUUGCGUCCAAUGGGUAGAGACACGCUGCUUAAGACAGUGAACGGUGUCGGUUCGAAUCCGACUCGGGGCA